rnacentral:rRNA from 1 species
GACGAACGCUGGCGGCGUGCUUAACACAUGCAAGUCGAACGAUGAAGCCUUUCGGGGUGGAUUAGUGGCGAACGGGUGAGUAACACGUGGGUAAUCUGCCCUGCACUCUGGGAUAAGCCCGGGAAACUGGGUCUAAUACCGGAUAUGACUUUCUUACGCAUGUAGGAAGGUGGAAAGUUCCGGCGGUGCAGGAUGAACCCGCGGCCUAUCAGCUUGUUGGUGGGGUAAUGGCCUACCAAGGCGACGACGGGUAGCCGGCCUGAGAGGGCGACCGGUCACACUGGGACUGAGACACGGCCCAGACUCCUACGGGAGGCAGCAGUGGGGAAGUAUUGGACAAUGGGCGCAAGCCUGAUCCAGCCAUGCCGCGUGAGUGAAGAAGGCC